UACGUAGGGGGCAAGCGUUGUCCGGAAUCAUUGGGCGUAAAGAGCGUGUAGGCGGCCUGAUAAGUCGGUUGUGAAAGUCAAGGGCUCAACCCUUGAAUGCCGACCGAUACUGUCAGGCUAGAGUCCGGAAGAGGCGAGUGGAAUUCCUGGUGUAGCGGUGAAAUGCGUAGAUAUCAGGAGGAACACCAAUGGCGAAGGCAGCUCGCUGGGACGGUACUGACGCUGAGACGCGAAAGCGUGGGGAGCGAACAGG
rnacentral:rRNA from 1 species